UUGAGAAAAUAAAUUUAACUCCUAAAUAUAGUUUUACUUCACGUCUUGUGUGAAGGUUUAUUAUAUCGGUCUUUUUUUUUUCAGAGCGCAAACAGUGACAGUAUACUAGGAAAACUAAGAGAAAAAGUAUUAGUGUAUCCGGCUGACUCUCUUGACCGUGUUGUGAGCCGCACUGUAAUGGGACUUCACACAGCCUUUGGUCCUGAACUUGCAAUGUUUGGAAUCCUUCAUCUUGAUUUUUCAAAGACAGGAAAGUGCCGGGUUUACAUGAUGUCCCGAGGCUUACAGGGCCCUAGAACCCUCGGUCUUGGUUUACCUAAAGGUUCGCCUCUAACGUCCAGGAUCAACUCUUUCUUGUUGAAACUCACGGAUUCAGGUAUAUUGAGAAAAAUAAUCCUGGAAGCUGUUUACAACUCAACAGAAUGCAUGAAGCCACUGGCCUCGGUAAGCAGCCAGAACAAGCGAUCCCUUCACCUAACGGAUUUCCACGGCGUAUUAUUCUUAUAU